rnacentral:rRNA from 1 species
CACUGAUUAAUUAAAGGGCCGCGGUAUUUUGACCGUGCAAAGGUAGCAUAAUCAUUAGCAUAUUAAUUGUAUGCUGGAAUGAAAGGUUUGACGAGAAAUACACUGUCUCUAUUGUAUUUUUAUAAUUUUAUUUUCUAGUUAAAAAGCUGGAAUUUUUUUUUAGGACGAUAAGACCCUAUAGAGUUUGAUUCUAUAUAUUUUAUUAUUUUGGGUUUAAUUAUUAAUAAUUAAUUUUAUUUUGAAUUUUGUUGGGGUGAUGUGAAUAAUAAUUAAACUAUUCAUUGUUUUUAUCAUUGAUUUAUGUGUUUUAUGAUCCUUUAUUAUUGAUUUAAAGAUAAAAUUACCUUAGGGAUAACAGCGCAAUUAUCUUUGAGAGUUCUUAUUGACAAGGUAGAUUGUGACCUCGAUGUUGGAUUAAGAUUUUUUUAGGUGAAGGUGCUUUAUUUAAUUGGUCUGUUCGACCAUU